rnacentral:rRNA from 1 species
GAGUUUGAUCAUGGCUCAGGAUGAACGCUAGCGGGAGGCUUAACACAUGCAAGUCGAGGGGUAUAAGUAGCAAUAUUUAGAGACCGGCGCACGGGUGAGUAACGCGUAUGCAACCUGCCCUUUACAGGGGGAUAGCCCGUAGAAAUGCGGAUUAAUACCCCAUAGUACUAUUGGAUCGCAUGGUUUGAUAGUUAAAGUUUCGGCGGUAAAGGAUGGGCAUGCGUGACAUUAGCUAGUUGGAGAGGUAACGGCUCACCAAGGCUACGAUGUCUAGGGGUUCUGAGAGGAAGAUCCCCCACACUGGUACUGAGACACGGACCAGACUCCUACGGGAGGCAGCAGUGAGGAAUAUUGGUCAAUGGGCGAGAGCCUGAACCAGCCAUCCCGCGUGCAGGAAGAAUGCCCUAUGGGUUGUAAACUGCUUUUUCGCAUGAAGAACACCCCUGACGUGCUCGGGGGCUGACGGUAAUGCGUGAAUAAGCACCGGCUAACUCCGUGCCAGCAGCCGCGGUAAUACGGAGGGUGCAAGCGUUAUCCGGAUUUAUUGGGUUUAAAGGGUGCGUAGGCGGUGAAUUAAGUCAGUGGUGAAAUCCUGCAGCUCAACUGUAGAAUUGCCAUUGAAACUGAAUUACUUGAGUAAUCUUGAA